rnacentral:rRNA from 1 species
GAAAGCAUCUAAGCACGAAGCCGGCCACAAGAUUAGAUUUCCCUUGAGGGUCGUCAUAGACGAUGACGUUGAUAGGAGGCAGGUGUAAAGACGGUGACGUCAAAGCCGAGCCUUACUAAUUGCCCGAAAGGCUUUCGUUU